UACAGAGGGUGCAAGCGUUAAUCGGAAUUACUGGGCGUAAAGCGCACGUAGGCGGUUGGGUAAGUUGGUUGUGAAAUCCCCGGGCUUAACCUGGGAAUUGCAGUCGAUACUGCCCGACUAGAGUAUGGAAGAGGGAAGCGGAAUUUCCGGUGUAGCGGUGAAAUGCGUAGAUAUCGGAAGGAACACCAGUGGCGAAGGCGGCUUCCUGGUCCAAUACUGACGCUGAGGUGCGAAAGCGUGGGGAGCGAACAGG
rnacentral:rRNA from 1 species